AACGCACCUUGCGCUCCUUGGUAUUCCGAGGAGCAUGCCUGUUUGAGUGUCAUUAAAUUCUCAACCUCUCCAGCUUUUUGGCUGGGUGAGGAUUGGAUGUGGGGGUGUGCUGGCUUCCUUAAAAGAGGUCGGCUCCCCUUAAAUGCAUUAGCGGGAACGUCUUGCGGACCGUCACUUGGUGUGAUAAUUAUCUACGCCGUGGACUAUUUGCCGUUUUUAGCACUGCUUAUAAUCGUCUGUUCAUUCGGACAAUAUAUGACAAUUUGACCUCAAAUCAGGUAGGACUACCCGCUGAACUUAA
rnacentral:rRNA from 1 species